rnacentral:rRNA from 1 species
AACGAACGCUGGCGGCAGGCUUAACACAUGCAAGUCGAACGCUCGUAGCAAUACGGGAGUGGCGGACGGGUGAGUAACGCGUGGGAACGUGCCCUGAGGUACGGAAUAACUGCGGGAAACUGCAGCUAAUACCGUAUGAGCCCCGCAAGGGGGGAAAGAUUUAUCGCCUUGGGAGCGGCCCGCGUCGGAUUAGCUAGUUGGUGGGGUAACGGCCUACCAAGGCUUCGAUCCGUAGCUGGUCUGAGAGGACGAUCAGCCACACUGGGACUGAGACACGGCCCAGACUCCUACGGGAGGCAGCAGUGGGGAAUCUUGCGCAAUGGGGGCAACCCUGACGCAGCCAUGCCGCGUGAAUGAUGAAGGCCUUAGGGUUGUAAAGUUCUUUUGCCCGUGACGAUGAUGACGGUAACGGGAGAAUAAGCUCCGGCUAACUUCGUGCCAGCAGCCGCGGUAAGGUCGUCAUGU